rnacentral:rRNA from 1 species
UACAGAGGAUGCAAGCGUUAUCCGGAAUGAUUGGGCGUAAAGCGUCUGUAGGUGGCUUUUUAAGUCCGCCGUCAAAUCCCAGGGCUCAACUCUGGACAGGCGGUGGAAACUACCAAGCUGGAGUACGGUAGGGGCAGAGGGAAUUUCCGGUGGAGCGGUGAAAUGCGUAGAUAUCGUCUGGAACGCCAAAGGUGAAAACAGCUCGCUGGGGUUGUGCUGACGCUGAGACACGAAAGCCAGGGGAGCGAACGGG